GAAAUGCGAUAAGUAGUGUGAAUUGCAGAAUUCAGUGAAUCAUCGAAUCUUUGAACGCACAUUGCGCCCUUUGGUAUUCCAAAGGGCAUGCCUGUUCGAGCGUCAUUUGUACCCUCAAGCUUUGCUUGGUGUUGGGCGUCUUGUCUCUAGCUUUGCUGGAGACUCGCCUUAAAGUAAUUGGCAGCCGGCCUACUGGUUUCGGAGCGCAGCACAAGUCGCACUCUCUAUCAGCAAAGGUCUAGCAUCCAUUAAGCCUUUUUUUCAACUUUUGACCUCGGAUCAGGUAGGGAUACCCGCCGAACUUAAGC
rnacentral:misc_RNA from 1 species